GUUUAAGUAUCCUCUGUGGGCGGGGAGGGUGUCACCCAGCACGAGCACCUCCUGUGUCCCUUGUCAGCGAGCCGGGCCCCACACUUGACACAACGCGGAGACUCAAUGCCCAAGAGAAGCGGGCAGACUCAGGGAAAAUGGGAUCUGCCUCCGUCUGCCAGGGUGGGUUGGAAAUCGCCUCCCGCGCGUCCUGAUGGGGUUUCUAACGGAAGUUAGGAGGAAGCCUCACCCCAGCCAUGGUCCCGCGCAACGGCUUGUAACUCCCUAAGUGGAAACUGAACCAAGAGGCACCCACUUAUUCCAUGAUUUUGGGGGUUUUGGGGGGGAAAUUGAGAUGUAAUUGGCAGUUAACAAUCA